rnacentral:rRNA from 1 species
ACGGAGGUUGCAAGCGUUGUUCGGAAUAACUGGGCGUAAAGGGAGCGCAGGCGGAUUGUUAAGUUCAAAGUGAAAUCCCGGGGCUUAACCUCGGAAGUGCAUUUGAAACUGCAAUACUUGAGAGUGCGAGAGGAAAGCGGAAUUCCUGGUGUAGCGGUGAAAUGCGUAGAUAUCAGGAAGAACCCCGGUGGCGAAGGCAGCGUUCUGGGGCGUAUCUGACGCUGAGGCACGAAAGCGUGGGGAUCGAACAG